rnacentral:rRNA from 1 species
UGAGGAAUAUUGCGCAAUGGGCGAAAGCCUGACGCAGCGACGCCGCGUGGAGGAUGAAGGUCUUCGGAUUGUAAACUUCUGUUAAGUGGGAAGAAAAAGUUGUUUUAAAUAAAAGCAAUGUAUGACGGUACCACUAGAGAAAGCACCGGCUAAACUCGUGCCAGCAGCCGCGGUAAUACGAGUGGUGCAAGCGUUAUUCGGAAUAAUUGGGCGUACAGGGUGCGUAGACGGUAUGUUAAGUCUGCUGUUAAAUCCUCCGGCUUAACCGGAGAUCUGCGGUGGAAACUGGCGUACUAGAGGGUGGAAGAGAGAAGUGGAAUUCUCGGUGUAGCGGUAAAAUGCGUAGAUAUCGAGAGGAACACCGAUGGCGAAGGCAGCUUCUUGGUCCAUUCCUGACGUUGAGGCACGAAAGCGUGGGGAGCAAACAGG